GCUCGUGUCGAUAGUUGAAUGAACCAGUGCCCAAUAGAUCGUUGAAGUUAAGCAAUUUUGCGUGUGGUUGGUAUCUGGAUGGGUGACCAUUUGGCCAGACGUGUACUGCUGGCU
rnacentral:rRNA from 1 species